CAGGCACAGUCAAACCUGCCCUACCUGUCUAUAUUGAAGCUCAAGCCUAGCCAACUUGCUCCUAAGCUGCGACACAUUGUCAGUCUCAUCUGCAUCAUAUGGGUCAACUUAUCCCACUACAACACCAGUGAGAGGAUCACCUGUCUCUUUUGCAAGGAAUUACAGAGAAUUCAGAAAGGCUGAAGGCUGGAUUUAACCUAUGACACAUCUCAAACAUGGUACAUUACUGGUGCCGCGGAAUGAGGAAUGAAAUUAUUUAGUAUGAGUAAUGAGAUCUUCCGCCUGUGCUUCCAAAGCAUCUCUCUGGACAGGAUCUUUAAGGGGUACUUGAUUUCCAGCAAGCACAACCUCAGCGACUGUAUCCAGUGCUGCCUGGCCUGGAAAGAAAUUUACCUGCAGACUUGCAGAUUUCCCACAAGACUGUCGAGAGAUGUGGAUGAUCAGGAGCUGCAGAGACCACAGCUUUCGGCCUCAUCACACAACACCUCGCCUUCAUAAGGUAUUCUCCAAAGGCCCAGUCCUGGACCAACCCAGCAUUUUUGUUCUGGUUGAUGCCUUCGUUCAAAUGUUCAGAGACCUGCUUGAGCUUUGUCAUUUGGGAUAUCAUUUUUGUCUUGGCCACAUGACUGCCAGUAGCAGCUUGCCCAUUGGGAGGAGGAUCAGCAGAGGGCCCUGUGACACUUUGGCUGCCAGGGGCCGAAGGUUACCUGCUGCCUGCUGAAGAUACAGAGCAACUUCUGCUGCUGCCUACAGAUUCUGAAAUGUUGUUGGCACGGGCCUCCUGGACGUCGAAACACCACCUGGCACCAUGAUUACAACAGAGUGAAGUCAUAAAGGUGAAGACCUGACCCUGCAAGGACUCUUGCUCAUGCUGUCCCGCCCCCGCUCAUCUGACGCAUCACUAAAGAUCUUGGGAAAAAGGGUCCACUGGCACCAUAUGUGCUUCAGAAGGCUCACUUCAUGUCUGAGACAAAGAAUAUCCUCGGGGCACUUCUAUUGCUCCAGCAGCAAUGGAUGAGCCUCACAGAGAAAGUGGACUGCAUGUCUUCAGGAUCCUCGCACCACUGCACCAGAGAGCCCCCAAGACCCCAGCAACGGAGCAGGAUGUGUUGGGAGUUGAUGUGGCUCCAGCAGGUGUUGCUUGACAGCUGCCUCAUACUAGAGAACAUAAAAGUUCAAGAACAGCCUCAUCAUCUCCUCUUCAAAAGGAAGAUCCAGAUCACAGUGUGCUGGUCCUGCUCAUGCUGCCACCCCUGAGCUUCUUGAAGGCUGCCUCUUCUCUUUCCACGGUGUGACUUCCGAAACCCCUUUCGGACAGGAUGUAGGAAGUGUUUGGAGCAUUGCAGAGGAAAACAAAGGCAGUCUUCGGCAGGUUAAUGAGGCCAGGAGGCAGCUUUGUGCCGAGCUUCAUCAGUAUUCACCAGAGGUCUCCCUCUCUCGCUCUCCCAAUAAUAUCCCAGUCAUUUGGGUCUGGUUGAGCUGCACAGCCGUACAAGAUAGCGGGACUCUGCAGCAAACUGGAGGAGAGCACCAUCCUCCAUGGCCUGGGC